AAGUUGUGGAGCCCCCAGCCCAGCAGACAAUAGGCACCAGAGGGAAGGUGAGCCCGGUGAGCAAGGCAGCGCACCGACUUCUAACGUACAGUCCAAUGUGAUGGGGACCCUGCCUGUAAGAGGAGAUGUACGCAGCCUCACAGGGCCGAAGCCAACUCACAAUGAGGUGCCAUCCAGGUAACCUUUGGG